rnacentral:rRNA from 1 species
UAGGGAAUAUUGGACAAUGGGCGAAAGCCUAAUCCAGCAAUACCGCGUGAAUGAUGAAGGUCUUAGGAUUGUAAAGUUCUUUCGGUGGGGAAGAUAAUGACGGUACCCACAGAAGAAGCACCGGCUAACUUCGUGCCAGCAGCCGCGGUAAUACGAAGGGUGCUAGCGUUAUUCGGAAUCACUGGGCGUAAAGAGUGUAAAGGCUGUUAGAUAAGUUAGUUAUGAAAUCCCUGAGCUCAACUCAGGAACUAUGAUUAAAACUAUCUGGCUAGAGUAUAGUAGGCGAUGGCGGAAUUCUUAGUGUAGGGGUGAAAUCCGUAGAUAUUAAGAGGAACACCGGUGGUGAAGACGGCUAUCUUGACUAUAACUGACGCUACAACACGAAGGCAUGGGUAGCAAACAGG